GUUGGGAUGCAGUCUCUUCCUCUUGCUAUCUCUGAACUUGAAGAUAAGGGACGUCUUGUAUUCGAUCAGCUCUGAGGAUUUAUCAUCAAAGAUGAGCUGGUUGCGACCAUUGCCAUGCCAGCAGUCUUAUUCUGCAUUGUGAUUGGCCCUACAUCCACUCCUGUUGGCAUUUGCCCUAUGCCUAAGAGUGAAGUAAUACACCUCCUCUCCUACUCCGUGUC
rnacentral:lncRNA from 1 species